GAUGAAGAACGUAGCGAAAUGCGAAAAGUAAUGUGAAUUGCAGAAUUCAGUGAAUCAUCGAAUCUUUGAACGCACAUUGCGCCCGCUGGUACUCCGGCGGGCACGCCUGUCCGAGCGUCAUUUCAACCCUCAAGCCCUCCUUCGGGAUGGGCCUGGUGUUGGGGCUCGGCCGCCAUCUCCGGCGGCCGUCCCCUAAAUACAGUGGCGGUCACGUCGCGACUCCUUUGCGUAGUAGAAACACCUCGCUCCGGAUAGCGACGCGGUCCACGCCGUAAAACCCCCAAUUUUCAAUGGUUGACCUCGGAUCAGGUGGGAAUACCCGCUGAACUUAAGCAUAUCAAUAAGCGGAGGA
rnacentral:misc_RNA from 1 species